rnacentral:rRNA from 1 species
AGAGUUUGAUCAUGGCUCAGAUUGAACGCUGGCGGCAUGCUUUACACAUGCAAGUCGAGCGGCAGCGCGGGGGCAACCCUGGCGGCGAGCGGCGAACGGGUGAGUAACACAUCGGAACGUAUCCCGUAGUGGGGGAUAACCCGGCGAAAGCCGGGCUAAUACCGCAUAUGCUCUACGGAGGAAAGUGGGGGACCUGUGAGGGCCUCACGCUAUGGGAGCGGCCGAUGUCCGAUUAGCUAGUUGGUGGGGUAAAGGCCUACCAAGGCGACGAUCGGUAGCUGGUCUGAGAGGAUGAUCAGCCACACUGGGACUGAGACACGGCCCAGACUCCUACGGGAGGCAGCAGUGGGGAAUUUUGGACAAUGGGGGCAACCCUGAUCCAGCCAUGCCGCGUGCGGGAAGAAGGCCUUCGGGUUGUAAACCGCUUUUAGUCGGGAAGAAAGGGUUCUCCUGAAUACGGAGGAUUUUUGACGGUACCGGCGGAAUAAGCACCGGCUAACUACGUGCCAGCAGCCGCGGUAAUACGUAGGGUGCGAGCGUUAAUCGGAAU